CACUAUCCAUGGAAGACCCCGUGGCGGCGCCCUCUUCGUCUUCCGCCGCCCCAGCUGCUUCCGCAGCGGCUAGGAUUUCGGCGGCGGCGGCGGCGGCGGUAACAUCUGCCGUUACCUCUGCGCCGCCCGCUCUCGCUCCGCUGCAGCCGUCUGGCACCGCCGCUGCGGUCCCUGAAGCCGCGUCGACGUGCCGGAGGCAGCUGUUCACGGUGGAGCUGCGGCCAGGGGAGUCCACAAUCGUGUCGUGGAAGAAGCUUCUCAAGGAGGCCGGGCACACCGCCACGGCACCGCCAGUGGCGCCGGAGCCAAAGUUCGCUGCACAUGCGGGCCCAUCUGGUGCUGCACAUCCUGCAGAAAAUGACCCAAAGGAUCCAAUGCAGUCAUUGAAAAAAUUGAGUGCCUUUACAUGGGAAAACAUAGCAGUGACGAAGAGGAUCUUAAUGAUGUACCAGAUGAUGAUCAGUAUGACACUGAGGAUUCUUUCGUUGAUGAUGCUGAAUUGGAUGAAUAUUUUGAAGUCGAUAAUUUGAAAACUAAGCACGAUGGGUAUUUUGUGAACAAGGGAAGUUGGAUCAGAUGAUUUGUCAUCUACAUCAAUUUAUUCAAAGCAACGGAUCAAAAUAGCAUCAUUACAUGCUUGCUUGCACACCUGCAUUGCUAUAAUCAUGUCAGAACUGAUGAACCUGGCGGAUCGGCAAAUGUCGCUCCAAAGAAAAGGAGAAGAAAGGAUGCAUCAAGUACUUAUCUGGAGACUAAUCAUCUUGCUCCAGUUGAUUAUUUUGAUAUUGGCUAUGUACCUGGAAAAUCCUCUGCAAGAGGUACUGCGAAGGUGGGAAAACAAUUAGCUAGUAGCAACAUAGGUUCUUAUGGUCAAUACCACGAAGACAAUAGAGUGGUGAAGAAUAAAACCAGUGGUCCUGGAGGAGCCCCUAGAAGAAAAUCUUCUGAAUUCUCGGUUGGUGAUGCUGCAGCACGCGCUAAGGUUAUUAAGGAUGUCUCAGAUGCUCCUUUGGAGCUAAGAGACUUGGAAAAGCAAAAGGCUGCACCACCACCUGUUUCCUAUGCACAUAAGUCAAAAACCAGUGAGGCAUUUGAUUAUGCUUAUCCAGCUGACAGGGAUAAAGGCACUUCAGCACAACUUGGUUUCCAACAAAGAAAGGUAAGUGGAGAAAAUCAAGAUCCAUCAAAUAGAAUAUAUCACAAAGAGAAGCAUUGAACAAGUGAAUAUCCUGGCUUGGUUAUGGCUAGUGCGGCCUAUUCUACACAAACAAUGGCAAAUCAGGGAAAGAUCCAAGAACAUGAGCUAAUGAAUCGCCUCAUGAGCAUAGUUGGACACCUUGUUCAGCGCAGGACACUAUAGCUUGCAGAGUUAUGGCCUCAAGGUUUCAUGGAUAGUGUUGGAAUCAAAGAUGCCAUUUAUAGAUGAAAGGAGCGAAGAAGAUUAUACUACAGCCAGCAAAAGGUUCGCAGCGAAGAGAGAAUGAAAAGGAAGAGGCUGGCUGCAGCAGCAAAGCUGGAAGAUGGCUUCCCAGUUGUAAUGCGAGCUGGUGUUGCCCCACAAGUUUCACAACCACCCAUAACAAACAACAUCACAUACCAGAUUAUGGACAGAACCAGGGGUUUAAAUUUUUUGACAGGGCUCGUGAAACGAGCUCCAGUGGAAUUCCUGAUGACGGCAACAGAAAUAUUGGCGAGAUCAAGAAGAAAAGAAAACCUGAAUACGAUGUUGUAGAUACACAAGCUAACCUACCAAAGGCUCCCUUACCGCAUGGGAGAGAAGCAAAAGCCUUCUAAGCCUGCUGACGAGGCCAGUGCUGGUAGCCUGCCCUCCACGUCGACAACUCAAACUGUGCUUGGCCUACCCUACCAUCGGUGCUUGGUCAUAACCAACAACCUAACUGAUCAUUUCGGCAUAUUGUUGGACAUUUGGUUAUCCUUAUAGGCUCUUUUCAGCUGCUGUACAAAAUUAUGGCAUUUCCAUGUGUUCAGCAUCCAUGGUCAAGGCCAUCACCUUUCCGAGUCGAGAGGAUAUUUGACCAUUUGCAAUUUUCUAGC